rnacentral:rRNA from 1 species
AACGUAGGGGGCAAGCGUUGUCCGGAUUUAUUGGGCGUAAAGAGCGUGUAGGCGGUUUGGUAGGUCCGCUGUGAAAACUCGAGGCUCAACCUCGAGACGCCGGUGGAAACCAUCAGACUAGAGUCCGGAAGAGGAGAGUGGAAUUCCUGGUGUAGCGGUGAAAUGCGCAGAUAUCAGGAAGAACACCCGUGGCUAAGGCGGCUCUCUAGUACGGUACUGACGCUGAGACGCGAAAGCGUGGGGAGCAAACAGG